AUAAUCAAUGGAUUUGCUCUGCCUUUAAAGGAAGAGCACAAGCUUUUUCUUGUCCGUGCAUUGAUUCCCCUUCACAAACCUAAAUGCGCAGCCAUGUACCACCAACAACUCAUGUAUUGUAUCACACAGUUUGUGGAGAAAGACUUUAAGUUGUCAGACAUCGUGAUCAGAGGACUUCUGAAGUACUGGCCAGUCACCAAUAGUAGCAAGGAGGUCAUGUUUCUUGGUGAGUUGGAGGAGGUUCUGGAAGCUACCCAAGCUGCAGAGUUUCAACGGUGCAUGGUCCCUUUGUUCCGUCAGAUUGGUCGUUGUCUCAACAGCUCUCAUUUUCAGGUAGCUGAACGUGCUCUGUUCCUGUGGAAUAACGAUCACAUAAGAAAUCUUAUCGUUCAGAAUCGUGAAGUGAUUUUACCCUUAAUUUUUCCACUCUUGGAGAAAAACACCCGUGGUCAUUGGAACCAAGCUGUUCAAAGUCUGACGUUGAACGUAAGGAAGAUCUUUUCAGAUGCUGAUCAAGCACUUUUUGAUGAGUGUUUGGAGAAAUUCAAAGAAGAUGAGAGAAAAGAUAAGGAGACACAGGAGAAGCGUGAACUGACCUGGAAACGCUUAGAAGAUAUAGCAGCAUCCAACUUUGUGAGUAAUGAAGCUGUGCUCAUCUCAAGACUUGCUUCCUCUGUUGUCAUUGCCAGCACCACCAAUUAACAACAAAUUUGGGUAGUUGGAACCAUAGAUGAAGGCCCCAGAAUUGUAUUUUGUUACUUGGUGCCCAUAUCCAUGGCGUGUUAAGCUUAGCAGCAAGAUGAUGAAGGUGAUAAUGGUUUUUGUGGAUACCAAAUUUCUCUUAGAUUUUUCUCCAUUUAUGCUCUUUUUGGCCUGUGAGAAGGGGGGCAGGUGCUCGACUCAUUGCUUUUGUAUUAUAA
rnacentral:misc_RNA from 1 species